AACGAACGCUGGCGGCAGGCCUAACACAUGCAAGUCGAGCGAGAUCUUCGGGUCUAGCGGCGGACGGGUGAGUAACGCGUGGGAAUAUGCCUCUUGGUACGGAAUAGCCUCGGGAAACUGGGAGUAAUACCGUAUGUGCCCUUUGGGGGAAAGAUUUAUCGCCAAGAGAUUAGCCCGCGUUGGAUUAGGUAGUUGGUGGGGUAAUGGCCUACCAAGCCGACGAUCCAUAGCUGGUUUGAGAGGAUGAUCAGCCACACUGGGACUGAGACACGGCCCAGACUCCUACGGGAGGCAGCAGUGGGGAAUCUUAGACAAUGGGGGCAACCCCGAUCUAGCCAUGCCGCGUGAGUGAUGAAGGCCUUAGGGUUGUAAAGCUCUUUCAGCUGGGAAGAUAAUGACGGUACCAGCAGAAGAAGCCCCGGCUAACUCCGUG
rnacentral:rRNA from 1 species